rnacentral:rRNA from 1 species
UACGGGGGGGGCAAGCGUUGUCCGGAAUUAUUGGGCGUAAAGAGCUCGUAGGCGGUCUGUUACGUCUGCUGUGAAAACCCGGGGCUUAACCCUGGGCUUGCAGUGGAUACGGGCAGACUAGAGGCAGGUAGGGGAGAAUGGAAUUCCCGGUGUAGCGGUGAAAUGCGCAGAUAUCAGGAGGAACACCGAUGGCGAAGGCAGGUCUCUGGGCCAUAACUGACGCUGAGAAGCGAAAGCAUGGGGAGCGAACAGG